rnacentral:tRNA from 1 species
CGGGGCGUAGCGCAGCCUGGCUAGCGUACCUGCUUUGGGAGCAGGGGGUCGGAGGUUCGAAUCCUCUCACCCCUA